rnacentral:rRNA from 1 species
CCAGCACCCCGAGUGGUCGGGACGAUUAUUGGGCCUAAAGCAUCCGUAGCCGGCCUUACAAGUCCUCCGUUAAAUCCAGCUGCUUAACAGAUGGGCUGCGGAGGAUACUAUAAGACUAGGAGGCAGGAGAGGCAAGCGGUACUCAGUGGGUAGGGGUAAAAUCCGUUGAUCCAUUGAAGACCACCAGUGGCGAAGGCGGCUUGCCAGAAUGCGCUCGACGGUGAGGGAUGAAAGCUGGGGGAGCAAACCGGAUUAGAUACCCGGGUAGUCCCAGCUGUAAACGAUGCAGACUCGGUGAUGGACUAGCUUUAUGCUGGUCCAGUGCCGCAGGGAAGCCGUUAAGUCUGCCGCCUGGGUAGUACGGUCGCAAGACUG